GACGAACGCUGGCGGCGUGCUUAACACAUGCAAGUCGAACGGAAAGGCCCUGCUUUUGUGGGGUGCUCGAGUGGCGAACGGGUGAGUAACACGUGAGUAACCUGCCCUUGACUUUGGGAUAACUUCAGGAAGCUGGGGCUAAUACCGGAUAGGAGCUCCUGCUGCAUGGUGGGGGUUGGAAAGUUCCGGCGGUUGGGGAUGGACUCGCGGCUUAUCAGCUUGUUGGUGGGGUAGUGGCUUACCAAGGCUUUGACGGGUAGCCGGCCUGAGAGGGUGACCGGCCACAUUGGGACUGAGAUACGGCCCAGACUCCUACGGGAGGCAGAAGUGGGGAAUAUUGCACAAUGGGCGGAAGCCUGAUGCAGCAACGCCGCGUGCGGGAUGACGGCCUUCGGGUUGUAAACCGCUUUCGCCUGUGACGAAGCGUGAGUGACGGUAAUGGGUAAAGAAGCACCGGCUAACUACGUG
rnacentral:rRNA from 1 species